CGUUACACACCGCCCGUCACACCAUGGGAGUUGGUUUCACCCGAAGGUGGUGCGCUAACCCGCAAGGGAGGCAGCCAACCACGGUGGGAUCAGCGACUGGGGUG
rnacentral:rRNA from 1 species